UACGAAAGGGGCUAGCGUUGUUCGGAUUUACUGGGCGUAAAGCGCACGUAGGCGGAUCGUUAAGUCGGGGGUGAAAUCCUGGAGCUCAACUCCAGAACUGCCUUUGAUACUGGCGAUCUCGAGUCCGGGAGAGGUGAGUGGAACUGCGAGUGUAGAGGUGAAAUUCGUAGAUAUUCGCAAGAACACCAGUGGCGAAGGCGGCUCACUGGCCCGGUACUGACGCUGAGGUGCGAAAGCGUGGGGAGCAAACAGGG
rnacentral:rRNA from 1 species